GCAGACAUUAUUUUUACCAAAUUGGCUUAUCAACAUUAGACUGCAAUUUAGUUUAGGUAAAGACACUGCAAACAACGUCCGGAGGGCAUGUUUGAUUGAAACAGCAGUUCAGAAUACUUUGAUGAUGUAUUCACUCUGUAGCCUACAGUAUAGAAAUGUCACACUGUAAACCAGAGCUAUAUCCGCUAUAGACAAAAAGCUUUAUUUGUGUUUUUCCCAUUUUUCCCCAUAGCUUUCCUUUGCCAAAACAAGAACAUUUCAUAUGAAAUCCAAACAUGUUUUAUCCACAUUAAAACCAACUAAAAAUAAAUUGAUCUGAUAACCACACCAUGUUCUUCACCUUAAAAAAAAGCAUUACAGGACUACAAGUACCAGAAUGCAUUGUGAUACAAGCAGGAAAACAACAACAACAAUAGCAAACGGCUGAUUCUCUGUUUGGCUGCAGAGACUGGUACCCUCGUCGCUCUAAUAUUUCAAGGGUCUACAAUAUAAUUUCAUUUCACAUAUGAAUAACUUCUGCUGCCUCUUUGAAAAGUAAAGUAAGAAAUAACAUGGAAUAAAGUCAAAUAUAAAAGUUGUAUUUAGCUCACUUUUCUCUGAAAUGUAGUUUAUUUCUGCGUUCAUUCGGAUGUUCUCGGCCAGCUCUCUGUAAAUGGUCGGUCAUGACCGGGGAGAGGAGUGUUCUAUCACAAAGCCACAACAUUACUCUCAUACACUUCAGUCCCCCAGUCUUUUUAGUGAAACGGAAAAGUCCAUUUUGAAAAGCGGAAGUGCAUCUGAGAUUCCAAACUCCAAACUGGAGGUCUGGCUCCCUUUCCGUCCCCUUUAAGUGUACAUGGAGGUCUGGCUCCCUUUCCAUCCCCUUUAAGUGUACAUGGAGGUCUGGCUCCCUUUCCGUCCCCUUUAAGUGUACAUGGAGGUCUGGCUCCCUUUCCGUCCCCUUUAAGUGUACAUGGAGGUCUGGCUCCCUUUCCGUCCCCUUUAAGUGUACAUGGAGGUCUGGCUCCCUUUCCAUCCACUUUAAGUGUACAUGGAGGUCUGGCUCCCUUUCCAUCACCUUUAAGUGUACAUGGAGGUCUGGCUCCCUUAGUGUUGCACAAUACAUGGGGAUCUCACAUUGUCCAUUCCCCUCGUGAUGACAGACCCUCAGUCUCCACAAUGACCCAGCGGUCAACAGCCUUAGUACUGGGACUCAGACAAGAGGACCUGACAUAGCAAUGGGCAUGUGUCAUACAGCGAAAACCUCACAUUUCAGAGCAUGAGAGACAGAGAGAGAGAGGGGGCAGAGAAUGAGACAGAGAGAGAGGGUAGAGCGAAUGAGAGAGAGUGAGAUAGAAGGGGUUAGAGAGAAUGAGAGAAAGAGAGGGAGAGAGAUGAGGGUAGAGAAAGAGAGAGAGAGAGAGAACGAGAGAGGGAGAGAGAGAAAGAGAAGAGGGGUAGAGAGAGAGAGAGAGAGAGAGAGAGAGAGAAGAGGGAGGGGUAGAGAAAGAGAUGAGGGGUAAAGAGAGAGAGAGGGGUAGAGAGAGAGAAAGAGAGAGAUGAGGGGUAGAGAGAAGGGGGGUAGAGUGAGAGAGAAAAUGGGUAGAGAGAAAGAGAGAGGAGGGGUAGAGAGGGGUAGAGAGAGAGAGGUAGAGAGAGAGAGAGGGGUAGAGAGAGAGAGAAGAUGGGUAGAGAGAGAAAGAGAGAGGAGGGGUAGAGAGGGGUAGAGAGGGGUAGAGAGAGGGGGGUAGAGAGAGAGAAAGAGAGAGAGAAGAGGGGUAGAGAGAGAGAGAAGAUGGGUUGAGAGAGAAAGAGAGAGGAGGGGUAAAGAGAUGAGGGGGAGUAGAGAGAGAGAAGAGGGGUAAAGUACCGCAGCAUGAGAUGGAGAGACUCAUAUUGAAUUCAGCACCAGUGGAAAAAGGCAAUUUUUGAAAAGGUUCAUUUGUUUGUUUUUACAUAACAUUUUUUUUGUAUGACAAAAAGAUCCUCUUUUUAAAAAAUCUACACUGCCAUGUCUGUGAUGGGACCCCCAUAGCAUGUUUCAGAGGGUCUACACAGAGGUCUAUGGCUGCUUACGACCUUGUUGGAGAGCCACGACAGCGCCGUCCCACCCCCCUGUUCUCCCGGUAUAAAAGUUAAACAAGUGUCUUUGGCAGAUUUACAGAAAAGGUCCUCAUCUACUCUGGGACGCUACUGCUAGAAAUUACAAAGAUGUUAGAAACUGGUCAGAGACACACAAGAAGAGAGAGAGAGAGAGAGAGAGAGAGACUGAGACUGGUCAGAGACACACAAGAA
ensembl:lncRNA